rnacentral:lncRNA from 10 species
AAGGAAAUAGAGACAACUAAUGUUAACAUUCUUUAAAAAACAAAACAAAAAAACUCCACAAAGCUACCAAACUAAUUGGGAAAGGAUUCGCUGUCUUAAUUAGAAAUAAUUAUCUUGUUAUCAAAGUACACUGAUUAAUGUUUCAUCAGUGACUUCAUCUGCAUAUAUACACAUAUAUAGACAAAUAUGGAAUAUGUGUAUGUAUACAUAGUAUAUACACAUUAUAUAUCCAUAUAUGUGUGUGUGAUAUGUGUAUGUGUCUAUGUGUAUUAGAUUCACUCCUCAGCCCUCACAUAGAGCAAUUCCAAUCCAUGAUCUCACAUUUAGAAGGGUUGGUGGAAAGGGGGGAUCCCGAAUGUUUUAUGAAGCAGCCCACUCUAAUCCCUUAGUGCUCUACAUUAUUAGGUACACAAUGGACAUCCAUUUUAGAUACUCUAAUUGAGUUUAAACUCAAGCCAAAUACACAUUUGGAUUAAUAUCUCAAGUCAUAGUGUGGGAUGUCUUUUAUUACAUUUGGUACCUGUCAGUGUAACCUUCUAACUGUCAGCUUCUACUCCUUUUGAAAACUUUAUGUACCUGAUAUCAAACAAUUUCUACCUAGGGCACUUCAGGACUGCAGCAAAGGGCAUUUGAUGGAGUCUAUAACAGAAAAGAAAGUCCUCCUCUGGAAUUUCUGACUAUAUUUCAUUGGCCACAACUGGAUUCCAUGGCCACCCCUAACUACUGGGGAGGCUGAGAAUUCAAAUGCUGAAAAUUGCAAUCUCCAUAGUGAAAGACACGAAGAAAGAAAUUGAUUGAAAUGGGUUAAUUAAUUCAAUUAGCAACACUUUUUCUCAGCAAAGGAGCUGAGAAAGAAAAUGUUUUGGUUCAGUCCUGGGUAGGGGUGCUUGACAGUGCUUAAUAUCACCAGCACUGAAGGUAAUAAAUAUUAUCUCUCUUUUCUAUCAUGAAUAUGAAUGAUACUCUGAAGGCUGAAUGCAACCUCAGAAUUUAAGUGAGAAAUGAGGCAUGCAACACUUUUGAAAAUAUAUUAGCCCAAAGUCUGUAUUACUGCAUAUUUUAUUCCCCUUUUAAUAUGCUACAAAAGGUUUGAGCCAUCAGCUGAAUGCUGCCAGAGAAGAACAAACAAGAACAAGAAUGCAAAAAUAAAUGCUGGGAGUCAAGUUUUCCCAAGAUGUUCUUUAUAGUUGGUGUAUGAUCACAUUUCUAAGCAGACUGCUUUGCUUCAAGCUCUACCCAUCAGCACUUCUUCCACAAGCCUGGUUCUCCAGGAAGUUUAUCCCGGGCUAACUAUGCAGAAAUAUACGUGGGGCAAAGUGGGUACUGGAGAAAGCAUUCCAUGAACUCCUUCUUUUGCCCUGCUACCUGAUUCUGUGUAACUUCUUCCAUGCCUGAGAUCUUCUCUUCCAUUUUGAGAACAUGAAGGAAACAUGUUUGCUUAAGUACGUUCUGGUUGGGAAUUAAAUAUUUAAUUCUGAUCAUUUUUAGUGUCUGAAAUAUAUUUCGUAAGCAUGGUCAUAUGAUAAUUAUAACUAUAAAAUGUUUUACAUUCUACAAACUUUAUCCCAUGUUACUAAUAUUCAGGAAAUGAUCAUAGGAAAAUAUUUGCACUAGGAUACUAUUCAUUAUUUUAACUCUUUCUAUUUAUACAUAGUUUUAAGAAAUUCUACAAUGAAUUUAUAUCAUCUUCAUAAUAGGGAACAAAAAUAAACUUCACUUUUUCCAUGAGGCUGUUGUCUUCCAAGACCAUACCUAAGCCAAGUUUGGGUUUAUAAAGUCAAAAUCAUGAGAUAUCCCAUCUGUGAACAAAUACUCAUGGCUAUAAUUUGGACGUUUGUUGUUUCCAAACUUCAUGUUGAAAUUUGACCCUCAAUAUUGGAUGUGGGGUGAUAUGGUUUCAUUGUGUCCUCACAAAAAAUCUCAUCUUGAAUUGUAAUCCCCAUAAUUCCCACGUGUCAAGGGCGGGAUCAGAUGGAGGUAACUGGAUCAUGGAGGCAGUUUCCCCCAUGCUGCUGUCAUAAUAAUGAGUGACUCUCAUGAGAUCUGAUGGUUUUAUAAGCAUCUGGCAUUGCCCUUGCUUGCACUCACUUCAUCCUGCCACCCUGUGAAGAAGGUGCCUGCUUCUCCUUAGCCUUCUGCCAUGGUUGUAAGUUUCCUGAGGCCUCCCCAGCAAGGCAAAACUGUGAGUCAAUUAAACCUCUUUCCUUUAUAAAUUACUUAGCCUCGGGUAUUUCUUCAUAACAUUGUGAGAGAGGACUAAUACAUGGGGCCUAAUGGCAGGUGUUUGGGUUAUGGGGCUGAAUCCUUCUACAAUAGGUUAAUGUUCUCCCUCAGUGGUGAGUUCUCACUCUAUUAGUUCCUGCGAGAGCCAGUUGUUUCAAAGAGCUAGGGGUGCACCUCUCCCUGCCUUGCUUCCUCUUUUGCCUUGGAAUCUCUGGGUCCCCUUCACCUUCAGCCAUGAGUGGAAGCAGCCUGAGACCUUCACCAAAUGCAGAUGCCCAAUCUUGAACUUUCCAGCCAUCAUAAUUGUGACCCAAAUAAACCUUUUUCUUUAUAAACUACCCGGUCUCAAGUAUUUCUUUAUUUUGUUUU